UAGAGUUUGAUCAUGGCUCAGAUUGAACGCUGGCGGCAGGCCUAACACAUGCAAGUCGAGCGGUAACAGAUUGAUAGCUUGCUAUCAAUGCUGACGAGCGGCGGACGGGUGAGUAAUGCCUGGGAAUAUACCCUGAUGUGGGGGAUAACUAUUGGAAACGAUAGCUAAUACCGCAUAAUCUCUUUGGAGCAAAGAGGGGGACCUUCGGGCCUCUCGCGUCAGGAUUAGCCCAGGUGGGAUUAGCUAGUUGGUGGGGUAAUGGCUCACCAAGGCAACGAUCCCUAGCUGGUCUGAGAGGAUGAUCAGCCACACUGGAACUGAGACACGGUCCAGACUCCUACGGGAGGCAGCAGUGGGGAAUAUUGCACAAUGGGGGAAACCCUGAUGCAGCCAUGCCGCGUGUAUGAAGAAGGCCUUCGGGUUGUAAAGUACUUUCAGUUGUGAGGAAGGCGUUGAAGUUAAUAGCUUCAGCGUUUGACGUUAGCAACAGAAGAAGCACCGGCUAACUCCGUGCCAGCAGCCGCGGUAAUACGGAGGGUGCGAGCGUUAAUCGGAAUUACUGGGCGUAAAGCGCAUGCAGGCGGUCUGUUAAGCAAGAUGUGAAAGCCCGGGGCUCAACCUCGGAACAGCAUUUUGAACUGGCAGACUAGAGUCCUGUAGAGGGGGGUAGAAUUUCA
rnacentral:rRNA from 1 species